GACGAACGCUGGCGGCGUGCUUAACACAUGCAAGUCGAACGGAAAGGCCCUGCUUUUGUGGGGUGCUCGAGUGGCGAACGGGUGAGUAACACGUGAGUAACCUGCCCUUGACUUUGGGAUAACUUCAGGAAACUGGGGCUAAUACCGGAUAGGAGCUCCUGCUGCAUGGUGGGGGUUGGAAAGUUUCGGCGGUUGGGGAUGGACUCGCGGCUUAUCAGCUUGUUGGUGGGGUAGUGGCUUACCAAGGCUUUGACGGGUAGCCGGCCUGAGAGGGUGACCGGCCACAUUGGGACUGAGAUACGGCACAGACUCCUACGGGAGGCAGCGGUGGGGAAUAUUGCACAAUGGGCGGAAGCCUGAUGCAGCAACGCCGCGUGCGGGAUGACGGCCUUCGGGUUGUAAACCGCUUUCGCCUGUGACGAAGCGUGAGUGACGGUAAUGGGUAAAGAAGCACCGGCUAACUACGUG
rnacentral:rRNA from 1 species